GGGGGGGGGGGGGAGAAAAAGAAGAAACAGAGAGUGAGGAGAGGCAGAGAGGGAGAGAGAGGGAUCUGAGCAAACUCGAGGAAGACGACCGAGUCGAACCAAUUUUGAAAGGGAAAAUGACUAAACUUGGGGUUCUUGAUUAAUUGAAGUUGGUUAAUUCUCGAGAUUCUCAAGGGCAAAAGUUGGCGAGCCUUAAAGCAAGCAUUUUGAAGGCUCAAUUCAGUGGACCAUACGUUGGGUGUUCGAUAAACUUCUAACUGUGUGGAAGGACUACUUUUUGAUAUCGGGGAUCAGCUUGGAGAACUAGGUAGGGACCUUAGUUAUAUGAUAAGUAUUAUUUUUGCAUAGAACGUAUUUGUAUAUGUUACGACCUGAAAUUUUUGUGUAGUUGGUUUAGUGAUAUGGUUGAAGAGAAAAUACUCUCUUUGAGAUGCAUAUACAUAUUAGAGCUUGCUGGAUUGGAUAUAUAUAUUUAGGCUUUAUGGAACGUAGGUUUAGAUGUGAAUAGUUUGUGUGAUAAUGGAUAUCGACCAAAUUUAGGGGAAGUUCUGUCGAAAUUUCGGGUCGUGACAAUUUCAUCAAUAAUUUUCAUAGACAUUUCAUCGAA